UACGGAGGAUGCGAGCGUUAUCCGGAUUUAUUGGGUUUAAAGGGUGCGUAGGCGGCUUUUUAAGUCAGCGGUGAAAUUUUGCAGCUUAACUGUAACAGUGCCGUUGAUACUGGGGAGCUAGGAUUUGGUUGCUGUGGGUGGAAUGCGUCGUGUAGCGGUGAAAUGCUUAGAUAUGACGCAGAACUCCGAUUGCGAAGGCAGCUUACUGGGAUGCAACUGACGCUGAGGCACGAAAGCGUGGGUAUCAAACAGGAUUAGAUA
rnacentral:rRNA from 1 species